rnacentral:rRNA from 1 species
CUAUAGAAUUUUAUAUUAACUUUACCUAGCGGUUAAUGCUGGUUUUUUGUUAAUAUUUGGUUGGGAGGAUUAUUAAAUUUAACAAACUUUAUAUCAUUAUAAACUUUGAUUUAAGAAAAUAUAAUGAUCUUCAAUUUGAAAUAGUUAGAGUAAAUUACCUUAGGGAUAACAGCGUAAUAUUUUUUUAUAGACCUUAUAGAAAAAAAUGGUUGCGACCUCGAUGUUGAAUUAAGAUAAAUUUUAAAUGCAGGAGUUUAAUAAUUAAGUCUGUU